AGCUCCAAUAGCGUAUAUUAAAGUUGUUGCAGUUAAAAAGCUCGUAGUUGAAUUUCUGAUAGAAGGGAGCGGUUCCGCAUUCUUGCGGAUACUGGCUCGUCUUCCGUCAUCCUUGGGCUUAGUCUCGCUGAUAUUAACUUAUCGGCGUGUUCCAUGCCCAUCGUUUACUGUGAGCAAAUUAGAGUGUUCAAAGCAGGCAUUUUGCCAUUGAAUAUAUUAGCAUGGAAUAAUAAGAUAGGAUUUCACGAUUUUAUUUUGUUGGUUUGCGUUGUGAAAUAAUGAUUAAGAGGGACAGUUGUGGGUAUUCGUAUUCAGAUGUCAGAGGUGAAAUUCUUAGAUUAUCGGAAGACGAACGACUGCGAAAGCAUUUACCAAGGAUGUUUUCA
rnacentral:rRNA from 1 species